UGGGCAACAUUUGCAUUUGUUUUUGUAGAUUUAGGCAUCUCUGGAUUUGUGGGUAGCAUGUUUUCAGUUUUCUUGUUUGCUAUAGCAAACUGAGGUGCUGGUUGGUCGAGAGGGCGCACGAUAGAACUUGUGGUGCGUGUCUGUAUUUCUGGGCAACAUUUGCAUUUGUUUUUGUAGAUUUAGGCAUCUCUGGAUUUGUGGGUAGCAUGUUUUCAGUUUUCUUGUUUGCUAUAGCAAACUGAGGUGCUGGUUGGUCGAGAGGGCGCACGAUAGAACUUGUGGUGCGUGAUGAAUACAUGGGAUGAUGUGCAUCUCUAAUAGUAAAGGUUUUUGAGCACAGGGUGGCAGAACACUAUGGUCUUCCAUUUAGAAUUGUUUAUAGGUAGGCAUUCAGAAUUUUUUUCCCGAAAAGUUGUGUUUGGAACAAUCCAUUUUUUUUGUACUUGUAGCGCACAUUGAAUAUUUAUGCAGUAUUUAGGUUAGACAAGUUGCAGUGGCUCUCUGAAUAGGAAUAGUACUUUGAUCACGUGCCAUGUCUGCCACCAGUAGGGCACCAGCUUUUUUACAAACUUCUGGUGUGCACUUCUUAGGACACUUGCAUAAUUUAUGGGUCAAAUGUACUAUGGAUUCUGUUGGUAAAUAUAUUUGCAAAUGUGGUACAGAUUUUGUCAUUGGUAAAAGUGUAGGAAGAAGCACAACAGGACAGAUGAAGUCGUUGCACAACAGGACAGAUGAAACUCAGACGCUCCACUAAAUCGAAAAGGACCAAAGCACUGAGUUCUACAAAGGAUUGUGGCCACAAUUAUCCACGUAGUAAAGCAGGAAUGGCAUCUCUGAAUAGUUGAAGACCAAAUCGCUGACUUCUACGAACGACUGC